AUUGAACGCUGGCGGCAGGCCUAACACAUGCAAGUCGAGCGAGCGGCGGACGGGUGAGUAAUGUAUGGGGACUGCCCGAUAGAGGGGGAUAACCAAUGGAAACGGUAGCUAAUACCGCAUACUAUCGGAUAAACCAUAUGGGAUGAGCUAGUAGGUGGUGUAAUGGCUCACCUAGGCGACGAUCCCUAGCUGGUCUGAGAGGAGGAUCAGCCACCCUGGGACUGAGACAGGGCCCAGACUCCUACGGAGGCAGCAGUGGGGAAUAUUGCACAAUGGGCGCAAGCCUGAUGCAUCCAUGCCGCGUGUAGGAAGAAGGCCCUAGGUUUGUAAAGUACUUUCAGUCGGGAGGCGUUACCGACAGAAGAAGCACCGGCUAACUCCGUGCCAGCAGCCGCGGUAAUUC
rnacentral:rRNA from 1 species